rnacentral:rRNA from 1 species
CGCAACCCUGACGGAGCAAGACCGCGUGUGAGAUGACGUCCUAAUGGUUCUAACCCUCUUUUCUCUGGGAAGAUGAUGACGGUACCAGAGGAAUCAGCCUCGGCUAACUCCGUGCCAGCAGCCGCGGUAAUACGGAGGAGGCAAGCGUUAUCCGGAAUUAUUGGGCGUAAAGCGUCCGUAGGUGGUUAUUCAAGUCUGCUGUUAAAGGCUGGAGCUUAACUCCGGUAGAGCAGUGGAAACUGGUGUGCUAGAGGGCGACAGGGGUAGAGGGAAUUCCCAGUGUAGCGGUGAAAUGCGUAGAGAUUGGGAAGAACACCGGUGGCGAAAGCGCUCUACUGGGUCGCACCUGACCCUCAGGGACGAAAGCUAAGGUAGCG